UACGUAGGGUGCAAGCGUUGUCCGGAAUUAUUGGGCGUAAAGAGCUCGUAGGCGGUUUGUCGCGUCUGCUGUGAAAACUGGGGGCUCAACCCCCAGCCUGCAGUGGGUACGGGCAGACUAGAGUGCGGUAGGGGAGAUUGGAAUUCCUGGCGUAGCGGUGGAAUGCGCAGAUAUCAGGAGGAACACCGAUGGCGAAGGCAGAUCUCUGGGCCGUAACUGACGCUGAGGAGCGAAAGCAUGGGGAGCGAACAGG
rnacentral:rRNA from 1 species